rnacentral:tRNA from 1 species
GCGCCCAUAGCUCAGUGGAUUAGAGCAUCUGCCUACGAAGCAGAGGGUCGGAGGUUCAAGUCCUCUUGGGCGCA